GCUAUUUUUAGAAUAAUUGCUGAAUCUUUUUUUUUUUUAAAUGAGGAUUUUAUAGUUAGUUUAUUAAUCAGGGUGCACAAUCUUUUCUAUUGUCCUCAUAUAGUCAGAUCGAUACUUUAUUUUCUUCCUUCCUGUUGUACAUACGUAGAACGACAGCUGUGCUAUUUGCCUAUUGUUUUUCUCUUGAUAUUGGGAUUUGUGGACCCCCAUUUCUUAUGUUUACUACGUUUUUACUUAUAUAUGUAGUUAUCUGUUUUACUUUUCUAUUUUAGAUGGAUGCAAUAAGUUCUGAGAUGUAGUUCUGUAUUGUUUUCUUUGCAGAAAUUG
rnacentral:misc_RNA from 1 species